UGAACGCUGGCGGCGUGCUUAACACAUGCAAGUCGAACGGUGAAGCAGAGCUUGCUCUGUGGAUCAGUGGCGCACGGGUGAGUAACACGUGAGCAACCUGCCCCUGACUCUGGGAUAAGCGCUGGAAACGGCGUCUAAUACUGGAUAUGAGCUGCGACCGCAUGGUCAGCAGUUGGAAAGAUUUUUCGGUCUGGGAUGGGCUCACGGCCUAUCAGCUUGUUGGUGAGGUAAUGGCUCACCAAGGCGUCGACGGGUAGCCGGCCUGAGAGGGUGACCGGCCACACUGGGACUGAGACACGGCCCAGACUCCUACGGGAGGCAGCAGUGGGGAAUAUUGCACAAUGGGCGAAAGCCUGAUGCAGCAACGCCGCGUGAGGGAUGACGGCCUUCGGGUUGUAAACCUCUUUUAGCAGGGAAGAAGCGAAAGUGACGGUACCUGCAGAAAAAGCGCCGGCUAACUACGUG
rnacentral:rRNA from 1 species